AGCAAAGUGAGCAGCUGAGGGGAGGGAAGGAGAUUCCAGGUAGUCAGGAGCAGUCGAUCUGGUCUUGAAGUGGAUGGCAGCAUGUGAGGAUAAUGACCAGCCAACCAUGAUCUUCCAGGUUAGCCACAUACAGGCAGAGAUCUUGAAGGCUGGACUGCUGGACUUGAGAGAGAAAUGCCUGUCAAUUCUGGAAGCCCCACUCCCACCCCUAGAUGAAAGCAGCAACAAAAGAUUGGAGGUUGAAUUGAGAACUGAAGCCUUUCUCCAGAUGGGCAAUACAUCAAAAAGUGGUGAUGUGUUCUAAAGAUACCUCUAAAAGGUGGUGGAAACUGAAAAAUGAAAAUUUUAAACUUGGUAAACCAUACCUGAGAUAUCUUGAGUUGGAAUCAUGUAAUUACAGAGGUUCUGACACAGAUAUCAGAUGGAUUGUACUUCUUGUUUCCUUUGUAAUU